rnacentral:rRNA from 1 species
CGGGUUGUAAAGCACUUUAGGUGGGGAAGAAGUUACGUAGGUUAAGAGCUGAUGUAAUUGACGGUACUCACAGAAUAAGCACCGGCUAACUCUGUGC